rnacentral:rRNA from 1 species
CGUUGUCCGGAAUCAUUGGGCGUAAAGCGCGUGUAGGCGGUUCGGUAAGUCGGCUGUGAAGGUCCAGGGCUCAACCCUGGGAUGCCGGUCGAUACUGCCGGACUAGAGUUCGGAAGAGGCGAGUGGAAUUCCCGGUGUAGCGGUGAAAUGCGCAGAUAUCGGGAGGAACACCAAUGGCGAAGGCAGCUCGCUGGGACGUUACUGACGCUGAGACGCGAAAGCGUGGGGAGCAAACGGG